UUACGGCCAUAUGACAUUAAAACAUUAGUUCCCAUACAAUCGCCAAAGUUAAGCAGCAUUGAGCCUGAUCAGUACCUAGAUGAGUGACCAUUUGGAAAUAUCAAGUGCUGUAA